AACGAACGCUGGCGGCAUGCCUAACACAUGCAAGUCGAACGAAGGCUUCGGCCUUAGUGGCGCACGGGUGCGUAACGCGUGGGAAUCUGCCCUUAGGUUCGGAAUAACAGCUGGAAACGGCUGCUAAUACCGGAUGAUAUCGCGAGAUCAAAGAUUUAUCGCCUGAGGAUGAGCCCGCGUUGGAUUAGGUAGUUGGUGGGGUAAAGGCCUACCAAGCCGACGAUCCAUAGCUGGUCUGAGAGGAUGAUCAGCCACACUGGGACUGAGACACGGCCCAGACUCCUACGGGAGGCAGCAGUGGGGAAUAUUGGACAAUGGGCGAAAGCCUGAUCCAGCAAUGCCGCGUGAGUGAUGAAGGCCCUAGGGUUGUAAAGCUCUUUUACCCGGGAAGAUAAUGACUGUACCGGGAGAAUAAGCCCCGGCUAACUCCGUGCCAGCCGCCGCGGUAAUAC
rnacentral:rRNA from 1 species